rnacentral:rRNA from 1 species
UACGUAGGGACCUAGCGUUGUCCGGAAUCAUUGGGCGUAAAGCGCGCGUAGGCGGCCUGGUAAGUCCGUUGUAAAAGUCGAAGGCUCAACCUUCGAAAGCCGAUGGAUACUGCCGGGCUAGAGUCCGGAAGAGGCGAGUAGAAUUCCUGGUGUAGCGGUGGAAUGCGCAGAUAUCAGGAGGAAUACCCAUAGCGAAGGCAGCUCGCUGGGACGGUACUGACGCUGAGGCGCGAAAGCGUGGGGAGCGAACAGG